GGGGCUGUAGCUCAGUGGUAGAGUGCUUGCCUUGCAUACGUGAGGCCCUGGGUUCGAUCCUCAGCACCA
rfam:Ictidomys tridecemlineatus contig087998, whole genome shotgun sequence.